AACGAACGCUGGCGGCAGGCCUAACACAUGCAAGUCGAACGGAUCCUUCGGGAUUAGUGGCGCACGGGUGAGUAACACGUGGGAACGUGCCCUUGGGUACGGAAAAACAGUUGGAAACGACUGCUAAUACCGUAUAAUAUCGAGAGAUCAAAGAUUUAUCGCCCAAGGAUCGGCCCGCGGAAGAUUAGGUAGUUGGUGGGGUAAAAGCCUACCAAGCCUACGAUCUAUAGCUGGUCUUAGAGGAUGAUCAGCCACACUGGAACUGAGACACGGUCCAGACUCCUACGGGAGGCAGCAGUGAGGAAUAUUGGACAAUGGGCGAAAGCCUGAUCCAGCCAUGCCGCGUGAAUGAUGAAGGCCUUAGGGUUGUAAAGUUCUUUUAGCUGUGACGAUAAUGACGGUACCGCAAGAAUAAGCCCCGGCUAACUUCGUGCCAGCAGCCGCCGUAA
rnacentral:rRNA from 1 species